CUUCCAAAACUUGUAUAUGGUCUGUGGGAGCGUAAUAACCCCUGACCCAAAUUCAGGAAACUGGCUACAACAUCAACAAACACGACAGAUAAACAUGAUGGGACAUUCCGCCGGUCGUCGUGGAAACGCUGAGAAAGCACAGCUGGGCGGGAGAAUAUGAGACAGGCCAGUGUCAUGGCAGCCAGAUGGAUGGAGUGCAUGGAGUCUGGUCGUUUGUUCAGAGCCCGGACAAACUGGAAGUUGAGG